AGGGUAAUAGGUUAAGAUAUAAACCAAACCGUCGGCCUUCAAAGUCGACCAUGCUAUGCUUGCCCUG
rnacentral:tRNA from 1 species